GCACAACGCGAAGAACCUUACCCACACUUGACAUCCUCCUUGGGACUUUCAGAGAUGAUUGUCUUCGGUUCGGCCGGGGAGGAGACAGGUGGCUGCAUGGCGUGUCGUCAGCUCGUGUCGUGAGAUGUUGGGUUAAGUCCCGCAACGAGCGCACUCUUAUCGUAUGUUGCCACCAUUCAGUUGGGCACUCAUGCGAGACUGCCGGUGAUAAGCCGGAGGAAGGCGGGGACGACGUCAAGUCAUCAUGGCCCGUUACGUGUGGGGCGUAGAAACGUGCUACAAUGGUGGUGACAGUGGGCAGCGAGGUCGUGAGGCCAAGCUAAUCCCAAAAAGCCAUCUCAGUUCAGAUUGCAGUCUGCAACUCGACUGCAUGAAGUUGGAAUCGCUAGUAAUCGCAAAUCAGCAUGUUGCGGUGAAUAUGUUCCCGGGGUCUUGUACACACCGGAGUCGGUGGGGGAGGGCAAGGGCACACAGGGGGGGGGA
rnacentral:rRNA from 1 species